rnacentral:rRNA from 1 species
GAUGAACGCUGGCGGCGUGCCUAAUACAUGCAAGUCGAGCGAACAGACGAGGAGCUUGCUCCUCUGACGUUAGCGGCGGACGGGUGAGUAACACGUGGAUAACCUACCUAUAAGACUGGGAUAACUUCGGGAAACCGGAGCUAAUACCGGAUAAUAUAUUGAACCGCAUGGUUCAAUAGUGAAAGACGGUUUUGCUGUCACUUAUAGAUGGAUCCGCGCCGCAUUAGCUAGUUGGUAAGGUAACGGCUUACCAAGGCAACGAUGCGUAGCCGACCUGAGAAGGUGGUCCGGCCACACGGGAAUGGGGAAACGUUCCAAAUCCUAACGGAAGGAAGCGGAAGGGAACCUUCCGAAAUGGGGGAAGGCUGAAGGGAGAAACGCGGGGUGAGGGAGGAAGGUUUUCGAAUGGAAAACCCUGUUAAUAAGGAAGAAAAAAAGUGGUAAGUAAUAAGGAAGGUCUGAAGGGAACUAAUGCAGAAAGCAACGCCUAACUAGGU